rnacentral:rRNA from 1 species
GACCCCAAAAAGUCCUCUGAGCACAAAAAUUUGGUCCUGAUUUUAAAAUCCGUUCUUUCUUAACCUACACAUGCAAGUUUCCCCAUCCCCGUGAGUUACCCCUCUACCCCCACCCGGGUUAACAGGGUCGGAAUUAGGCACUAUAAUUAGCCCAAAACACCUAGCAAUAGCCACACCCAUAAGGGUUACAGCAGUGAUCAACAUUAGUAAUAAGUGUCAACUAGAUCUAGUUAAAGAAAACAGAGCCGGCAAAUACGGUGCCAGCCGCCGCGGUUAAACCCACAGGCUCAAAUUGAUUUUUUCCCGGCGUAAAGCGUGAUUAAAGUGCCAACAAACUAGAGUCUAACUCAAACUAAGCAGUGACAUGCUUGUUUUAAAGAACCCUAGAAACGAAAGUUACUCUACCCUAACAACUUGAAUCCACGAUAGCUAAGACAUAAACUGGGAUUAGGUACCCCACUAUACUUAGCCUUAAACUUUAAAUUACUUUUUCCCAU